GGUGUGUAGCUCAGUGGUAGAGCAUUUGCCUAGCACGGUAAGGCUCAGGAUCAAACCAAUCAACAUCA
rnacentral:tRNA from 1 species